AGAGUUUGAUCCUGGCUCAGAGUGAACGUUAGCGGCGUGGAUUAGGCAUGCGAGUCGAAUGCGAGAGUCUUCGGACUAGUAGCAUGGCGAAAGGGGCAGGAACGCAUAGGUAACUUGCCUUCAGGACCGGGAUAUGCGAGGGAAACUUCGUGCAAUACUGGACGUCGUCAUUUAACUGCAUGGUUGAAUGAUGAAAGUGUUAGCGCCUGAAGAGAGGCCUAUGUCCUAUCAGCUUGUUGGUGAGGUAAUGGCUACACCAAGGCUACGACGGGUAGGGGGCGUGAGAGCGUGGCCCCCGCCACUGGGACUGAGACACUGCCCAGACUCCUACGGGAGGCUGCAGUCGAGAAUCUUCCACAAUGGACGAAAGUCUGAUGGAGCGACGCCGCGUGGUGGAUGAAGGCCUUCGGGUUGUAAACACCUGAGAGGGAACCGAACAACGACGGGACCCUUAAGGAAGCACGGGCUAAGUUCGUGCCAGCCGCCGCGGUAAUAC
rnacentral:rRNA from 1 species